AAAUGAUCUUCCUGCUUCAAGCCUCCUGAGUAGCUGGGACUACAGCCAAGCUCUAUUCCAGGAAGUGAAAAUGUGCCCAGAGAGCCCCUGAUUGCCACAGCAGUGAAGUUUCUACAGAAUUCCCGGGUCCGCCAGAGCCCACUUGCAACCAGGAGAGCGUUUCUUAAGAAGAAAGGUACGGGUUCCUAUCCUACGGCCAGUGCAGAGUAGCCUGUGAAAUCAUAGUGCAGGAGGCAGGUUCUCAGUAUGUCAAGGAUCCCCUAUAGGCUGUCCACUUUUGUAGGUAUGGGAAACGGGACUGAGGUGAUUCCUCGAGGGGAAUGCAGGUUGCUUUCCUAACAAUGGAGCCAAAGGAUUACACAGUUGGGCUAAUUAAGCUCUACAUAUAAGGUGAAGGGCAUCAUGGCAAAGGCAGUGUUCAGUAGCAAAAGUGGCCCAUUGAAUAGGACUGUGGAGGACUUCUGCUUUCUCAUCUGUUCUGUCACUGACCCUGGCUGCAGAAUGACCUGCUUUAGGUGAGGAGACUGGCUGCUUCAGUAAAGAAUGAGGAAGAAAGGAGUGAAAGGCAAGGGAAAUGAGAUAAAUAAACAAGGUCAGGUUAGGUCAAGCGUGGGGUAAGUCUGAUUUAGGGAUAGAAGUGGUAAAUUAUUGGCUUUAUGGUAUUUCUGUAAGCAAGGAUAAAGUGGAUCCUGACAAAUUCAGUAUUUUCUGAAGCAGACAGAAUAUAUUCUGGUUCUGUUGGAAUUUAGGAUGUUUUUCUUCUUUUUUGAAAUGAAAACAACCAGUUAAACCAAAAAAGAAACUGGACCUUUUAUUUUUUGAGCAUUUAAUUUUCUAGAAAUCUAGGAAUGUGUUUAAAGGCUUUUAUGUAACAUGAAGGGAGAAAAGUGUCUCCUUCUCCCAAAAGCACAGCUCUUUUUUUUUUUCUUUAAAAGCUGGAAUGUUGGCCUCAGAAUUCUGGUGUCUCAGUCAGUUUUGGCUAAAGUAGACAAUAGAAUGUUUUGGUGGCAUUUCCUAGGGCUGCUUUGUGAUAU